UACGUAGGGUGCAAGCGUUAAUCGGAAUUACUGGGCGUAAAGCGUGCGCAGGCGGUUCGCUAAGACAGAUGUGAAAUCCCCGGCUUAACCUGGGAACUGCAUUUGUGACUGGCGGGCUAGAGUAUGGCAGAGGGGGGUAGAAUUCCACGUGUAGCAGUGAAAUGCGUAGAGAUGUGGAGGAAUACCGAUGGCGAAGGCAGCCCCCUGGCCAGUACUGACGCUGAGGAGCGAAAGCGUGGGGAGCAACAGG
rnacentral:rRNA from 1 species